AUUGAACGCUGGCGGCAGGCUUAACACAUGCAAGUCGAGCGGUAACAGAGAGAAGCUUGCUUCACUGCUGACGAGCGGCGGACGGGUGAGUAAUGCCUAGGAAUCUGCCUAGUAGUGGGGGAUAACUUGCCGAAAGGUAAGCUAAUACCGCAUACGUCCUACGGGAGAAAGGAGGGGACCUUCGGGCCUUUCGCUAUUAGAUGAGCCUAGGUCGGAUUAGUUAGUUGGUGAGGUAAUGGCUCACCAAGACCGCGAUCCGUAACUGGUCUGAGAGGCUGAGCAGUCACACUGGAACUGAGACACGGUCCAGACUCCUACGGGAGGCAGCAGUGGGGAAUAUUGGGCAAUGGGGGGAACCCUGAUCCAGCCAUGCCGCGUGUGUGAAGAAGGUCUUAGGAUUGUAAAGCACUUUAAGUUGGGAGGAAGAGCAGUUAACUAAUAUUUGACUGUUUUGACGUUACCGACAGAAUAAGCACCGGCUAACUUCGUGCCAGCCGCCGCCGUAA
rnacentral:rRNA from 1 species